AUUGAACGCUGGCGGCAGGCCUAACACAUGCAAGUCGAACGAGUGGCGGACGGGUGAGUAAUGUCUGGGAAACUGCCUGAUGGAGGGGGAUAACUACUGGAAACGGUAGCUAAUACCGCAUACCAUCGGAUGUGCCCAGAUGGGAUUAGCUAGUAGGUGGGGUAAAGGCUCACCUAGGCGACGAUCCCUACCUGGUCUGAGAGGAUGACCAGCCGCCCUGGAAAUGGGACACGGUGCAGACUCCUACGGGAGGCAGCGGUGGGGAAUAUUGCACGAUGGGCGCAAGCAUGAUGCAGCCAUGACGCGUGUAUGAAGAAGGCCUUCGGGUUGUAAAGUACUUUCAGCGGGGAGGCGUUACCCGCAGAAGAAGCACAGGCUAACUCCGUGCCAGCAGCCGCGGUAAUUC
rnacentral:rRNA from 1 species